AAAUUGAAGAGUUUGAUCAUGGCUCAGAUUGAACGCUGGCGGCAGGCCUAACACAUGCAAGUCGAGCGGUAGCACAGAGAGCUUGCUCUCGGGUGACGAGCGGCGGACGGGUGAGUAAUGUCUGGGAAACUGCCUGAUGGAGGGGGAUAACUACUGGAAACGGUAGCUAAUACCGCAUAACGUCGCAAGACCAAAGUGGGGGACCUUCGGGCCUCAUGCCAUCAGAUGUGCCCAGAUGGGAUUAGCUAGUAGGUGGGGUAACGGCUCACCUAGGCGACGAUCCCUAGCUGGUCUGAGAGGAUGACCAGCCACACUGGAACUGAGACACGGUCCAGACUCCUACGGGAGGCAGCAGUGGGGAAUAUUGCACAAUGGGCGCAAGCCUGAUGCAGCCAUGCCGCGUGUGUGAAGAAGGCCUUCGGGUUGUAAAGCACUUUCAGCGGGGAGGAAGGCGGUGAGGUUAAUAACCUCAUCGAUUGACGUUACCCGCAGAAGAAGCACCGGCUAACUCCGUGCCAGCAGCCGCGGUAAUACGGAGGGUGCAAGCGUUAAUCGGAAUUACUGGGCGUAAAGCGCACGCAGGCGGUCUGUCAAGUCGGAUGUGAAAUCCCCGGGCUCAACCUGGGAACUGCAUUCGAAACUGGCAGGCUAGAGUCUUGUAGAGGGGGGUAGAAUUCCAGGUGUAGCGGUGAAAUGCGUAGAGAUCUGGAGGAAUACCGGUGGCGAAGGCGGCCCCCUGGACAAA
rnacentral:rRNA from 1 species